rnacentral:sRNA from 1 species
CCCUACCCAAGUAUAUAUAUACAAGAUUUAUAUAAACAAAGGAAAGAUGCAUCAUAAAGAUUUUAGAACUCAGAAUAGGUCUUCAAUUAAUCCCUUUUUGGCGACCCUUCAAAAAUCAAGCUUUCAAAACAGAAAUAUGCACCUCCCUUGGUUAGUCAAAUAUCAAUAUGCAGCUACACUCUUCUUCGUUACCAUUGCCCUCACCAAAGUUUCCUGUUUUCAGUUCAACUUCCCUUUCUUCCCAGAUGACUCUAAUCUAUGGCUGAGCAAGAGUUCAAGUAUAUUAUUUGAUGCAAUCAUAGUCACCCCUGAUAUUAUAGAUCCCAUAGAUCAUUAUUCUGGACGUGUUUUCUACAUAAAGCCAUACCAGCUUUGGAAAGAGAAGAACAACCAAAACCAAAUAGCUUCCUUCAACACCACUUUUGUGCUCCACAUAACUCCAGAAACUACCCCUGGUGGUGAAGGCUUGGCCUUUAUCUUAACUUCAGAUAGGACUAUCCCAGAAAACAGUGAUGGACAAUGGCUUGGUAUUGUAAAUGCUACUUCCAAUGGAACUUCACAGCCUGGUAUUGUAGCGGUGGAGUUUGACACAAGACACAGUUUCAAAGAAGAUGGCCCUGACAAUCACGUUGGCAUCAACAUAAACAGCAUCAACUCCAUCCAACAGGUUUCGUUAAUGAACAAUCGGCUCAAUCUAUCUUCAGGUCAAGAUGUCAAAAUUCACAUUCAAUACAUUAAUGACACAAUAUCAGUUUUUGGUGCCAUGAGUGGAACUUCUGAAGAAUCCAUGGAGACCCUCUUGGUAUCUCCACCUCUUAAUUUGUCUUCCUUUCUUCAAAAGGAGGUUUACAUUGGCUUCUCGGCCUCAACAAGUAACUACACGCAGCGGAACUGUGUCAGAUCGUGGGAAUUCAGCGGGGAUGAUAUUAGGGAUGAUGACAAAAGUCUCUUGUAUGUGGUUUAUGUUGCCGUUCCAAUCGUGAUUGUUUUAAUUAUCAUUGGUGGGUUGGUGAUCUUUUUCUUGCGCCGGCAAAAGAUUCGCCAUAUGGAGGGGCCAGAAGAUGCAUAUCCAAGGAUAGAGGAUCAGAUUAAAUAUUCCUCUAUGGCUCCAAAGAAGUUUAGGCUAAGGGAACUAACGAAAGCAACUGGUGGAUUCAGCCUUCAAAACAAGCUUGGACAAGGCGGGUUUGGAACUGUGUAUAAGGGACUACUGGAAAAUAAAGAGGUAGCUGUAAAGAGAGUUUCCAAAAACUCACGCCAAGGGAAGCAAGAGUUUUUGGCAGAAGUGACAACAAUCGGAAGCCUUCACCAUAGAAAUUUGGUGAAACUCACUGGUUGGUGCUAUGAGAAUAGAGAGCUUCUCCUUGUGUACGAGUUCAUGCCUAAUGGAAGCCUAGACAAGUACCUCUUUGGUGACAAAGAUUGUGGUGAUAAUUAUAACUUUAAAACACUGGACUGGGAAACUAGGCGAAGAGUGAUUAAUGGGGUGGCUCAAGCACUUGACUACCUUCACGAUGGGUGUGAGAAGAGGGUUCUCCACAGAGACAUCAAGGCCAGCAACAUAAUGCUGGACUCAGAUUACAAUGCCAAGCUGGGAGA